rnacentral:lncRNA from 1 species
AAAAUGAGAGUGAGCGCUCCUAAUGAACUGAGAAGAAGCCACAAAUUAUCAAGAAAAGGCCAGAAGCAGCAUUGUAGCAUUUGUAACAGUGAGAGCCAUAAAAAACAUAUUUGUCCUCAAAGAGCAACUCAGGUAUUAUUUUAGCAAUCUAUUCAACUGUUGGUACUUAAUAUAUUACUCUAAUUCUUUUUACUUUAAUAAUUGUAAGGUAACACAGGGUACACAAGCUUCAACAUCUUCUGAACCCACCAAGUUGAAGACAAGAAUGGGUUCUAUAGGAAUUGGACUUUAUAUCAACCCCGAGAGUGGAAGGACCGUUCUCAAUGUAAGAACUUUGCCUCAGUUAUGAUUCUAAGUUUUUUGAUACAUUAUUUGCCUGAGUUCGGAUUCUAAGAUAUGUUAAAACAUUUUGCAGCCAGGAAUGUCACAAUCUGUUGUGAUAAAUGAGGGCACACCCAGUGACACUGAUCCAAUCACUCGGUUUCCCAUUCCAAAUGAAAUGGAGUUAAGGAAUGAGAAGAAAAAACAAAUGGCAACAAAAGGAUAGGGAGACGCAUCAAAGGUUAGGAAGAUGGAAUCCGAGCCAUUCAAGGCUCCACGAGGCAAAUGAAAACAGGCUGAGGAACAAACUAUCCUCAGGAGAUCCCCUCGUGACAAGAAAGUUGAUUCCACAAUUGGUUCUACAACAAGUUGAAGGUUGUUCUUAUUGCACCAUGAAACUUUUGUUUUAUAUAGUUGAUGUUAGAACAUGUUCCUAUAUGAUACUUUUUAUGUUAGUUUUUGUCAGAACUUGUUCUAUUAGUUUAUGAUGGCAGCUUGGUUUUUUUUUUUUUAUGUCAUGGAGCUUUUAACAUGUAAACAGAUGAUGUCAGUUUUUUUUAGUGCAAUGAUGAAUGCUUUAUCAUCCUUCUUCGUACUUAUUCAUUUACAAUAACAAAACCAUUGUACAUACCCCAAAAUGAUAAUCUAUUUCAUUUCCAAAACAGGAUACUUAGCCAAAUUACAAAUGAGAAUUAUGCUAUUGCAAAAUAGGCUAACAUCAACCAAGAAGCAAGAAACAUAAAUGUAACUAUUCUAAUUUUCUUCCUCAUUUUGUUUGAAUCUUUCUUCAUUGCUUGCAUAACUUUCCCAAAGCCUAACAAUUUCAGACUCCACAUCCAUGGCUGCCAUUUUUGAGCUUUCACUCUUGAUCUUUAUGAGCUUCAAGUUCUCCUUCUUCAAGUCAUUGAUAACUUCCUUAGCUCUUUCAAUGAUUGGUUCGUCAAUCCAAUAAAAAAAACCACAAUUAGUUCGUCUGGUAAAACGAGAAAAGAAAGAGCUUUCAAGCCACGAAAUUCAACACAAACAAAAUUAUUGAAACUUCGAAAUAUACCUUUCAAUUUCUACAUCCAUAGAACAUUCUACCCGGUUUUCAUCCGUCCAUGAUGUCAUCAUGGAAGCCCUCAACCUUUUACCUUUAGAUUCGCAAACACAAAACUUUGGAUUAUCGGAUCCCUCAAACUGUCGUCGACCGCGCCACGAGGUCGACCCUGACCCAGAAACUGAAUUGAAACUCAUGCCUCUACUCAAAAUUUAAGAACACAGGGAAACCCAACAAUAAUUCGAAGAAACUACGAAAGAAACUCUUAAUUUUUGUGACCCUAGUAUCGAUUUAGGGUUCUUACGACUAUGGAAAUAUCCACAAAUUAAAAGGGGGAUUUGAGGUAGUUAAAUGUGGGGCCCAUCGAUUAAAAUAAAAAAAAUGACAGACGACGUUUAGUCCACGUUAGGAAUGACGGUUUAAUUGCAUGAAAAUUAGGACUUUGGGGGUUUAGUUAGACCAAGUUCAACUAUAAGGAUCUAAACGUGAAAAGGGCUCCUAUGUUAGGGACUUAUUUGAUACUUAACCCUUAAAAUAAAUUUAUAGUGUCCCCCAGGGGACACCAAGCGGUGCGAACUCCUGUCUACGAACAGUGAGGUCCAGAGAUCAAACCCCACCGCUCCCCCUCCCCCAAAGUAAAAAAAAAAAUUAUAGUGCUAAUCUCAUAGAUGACAAAAUUUUCACUUUUUUAAAUGGGUUAGUAGCCAGAAAAUACACGAAGUUUCACCAAAUUUGUAUUUUGCACACGACCUUCAAAAAUAGCCCCAGAAUACACGGACUAUUGAUUUUGUUGCAAUUUGCACACGGCGAGAACUCCAGCCAUAAUUAAAGUUGACCGGCAAUGACGUGGACUAUACACGUGGAUUUUUAUUGUAGGUGGCAAUACGCGUGGCAAUUUAAUUGAUCGCAAUACACAUGUCAUUUUUAUUAAAAGAAUAAAAAAAAAACAAAAAAUACAUAUCUCUCUCAAAAUCACAGCCGCAUCCUCUCCUUCCUCAAACUUUUCCACCACCGCGGCCAGCUCUUCCACCAAAAUAGGCGUCGGACCUCAGGCGCAGCAACAAACCCUCCUUAGCUUCCUGGAAAAAGGCGCGCGGCAGAUCUAAAAACAAGUCUCUCUCUCUCUCUCUCUCACGUUUUUGUUUCCGACCAUCUGUCCAUUGCACCACCGCCUCUCUCCUUUUUACCUCUGACCUCGCCCGAGUUGCAGGAAUCGAGAGAGGGAAAAGGAGAGGGAGAGAGGGAAGGAAAGGGAGAUCGUUGACUGAGAGAGAGGGGUGGUUGUGGUUCUGGAUUUGGGGGUUUUGCAGAGUUGGCGGCGAUUGUAGGGGAUUUGGGGGUUUUGCAGAGUUGGCGGUGAAUUGAAGGUGUAGGGCUCGGUGGUCGGCGGCGUUCGUGAACGGUGGUGGUGGAACGCGGCGGUUGGAGACAAGGCCGCGCUGUGCGGUGCGUUGGAGGUGGAAGUGGUACUCGGUGUCUGGAAAAGGCGGCGGAUCUGGGGCGCUGGCCUGAGCGGUGCGGGGGUGGAGGUGGAAUGUGGAGGUGGUGUGCUCGGUGUCUGGAAAAGGCGGCGGAUCGUGGGGCGCUGGCCUGAGCAGUGGUGGCAGGGUGCGUCGGGGUGGGGCAGAAGGUGGCGCUGGAGUGAUGAGAGAGGUGGGCGGAGAGGCGGUGCACGGUGGUCGACGGACCGCGCGCUGGCUGGAGACGGUGGAGACAGAGGUUGGCUACGGCAGAGGGCGACGUUCCAUUUUUUUUUCUUAAGUGCGCUUGAGUGAUGAGGUGGUUUCUAGAUCGGUGCAUCGUCCACGUCAACAAAUUCCGAUCGCCACAUCACCGCCGAUGAAGGUGUUAGUCAACGCGGGUGCAAUUUGCGAUUAAAUUCAAAAGUGGUGUAUUCUGGGGCUAUUUUUGAAGGUUAUGUGCAAUAUGCAAAUUCGGUGAAANCUGGAAAGGCGGCGGAUCUGGGGCGCUGGCCUGAGCGGUGGUGGCAGUAGGGUGCGUCGGGGUGGGGCAGAAGGUGAUGCUGGAGUGAUGAGAGAGGUGGGCGGAGAGGCGGUGCACGGUGGUCGACGGACCGCGCUGGAGACGGUGGAGACCAGAGAUUGGCUACGGCCGAUGGCGGUGUUCCAUUUUUUGAUUUUUUUAAUUUAGAAGAGCUUGACAAAACGACGUCGAUUUACUACAUCUAAAAAUCGUCUACGUCAACAAAAUCCGACAGCCACGUCACCACCGAUCAAGGUGGUAGUCAACGCGGGUGCAAUUUGCAACUAAAGUAAAAGGUUGUAUUCUGGGGCUAUUUUUGAAGGUCAUGUGCAAGAUGCAAAUUUCGUGAAAGUUCGUGUAUUUUUCGGCUAUUAACCCUUUUUAAAUUUAUUGUUUUUCAUAACGAAUUUAUAAUUUUUUAUAGCUAAUUUAUAUUAGACUUAUUUUAUACAAUAUACAUGAUUUAUAUAAUAACUAGUUAACCACUCCUAGAUGUCAUUGCCAAAAGAUAUUUUUUCUAAUGUAAGUUCCGAUACAAUUUAGAUGGUGUUACUGUUAAUAGGUAAAAAUGUCAUAAUUCUUAAGUUGUAUAUGAAAAAUAUCAUCUUUUAUAAACACAAGCAUUUUAUGUCCACAUUAAAUGAGCAUAUAUAAAUAUCUUUUAAUGUUGAUAGCUUUGUUUGAUUUUUUGUAAAAAAAAUUACGCAUUUGACCGAUCAGACAUAUAUCAAUCAGAAAUAUAUAAGACGAAUUUAAUUUAGAAAAUGAUUUGACAAUUAUAAGUCAAAAGUUCAUCAAGUUAGUGGCUAGAUUAUGUAGCCGCUCGGACGGCCGAUUUGACCAGGUGGCUAGAUGAACUGGGUGGCUCGAUAAUCUGGUCACUCGAUCAAAUGAUCUGGACGCCCGGACGAUUAGAUGACCUAACCACCCGCCAAUUAAAUGAGCUUUUAACCGAUAACUGUCAAAUCGUUCUCUUUCUAUUUUUAUUUNUUAUUUUUUUUACUUAUAGGAGUACAUGUUAAAUCGGUCAAAUAUAUAAAACUUUCACAAAAUACCAUGCAAAAUUAUUAACAUCAAAGGGUAUUUAAAUUUUGACUAUAAAAUAUUUAUAUUCAUAAGAAAUGACGUCUUUUAUAUACAACUUAAAGGAACAAGGCAUUUUAAAUUUUCACUUAUUUAGAGGGGAGUCGUCAUAAUCUUUUUGCCACAUAAUCUCAUCUACAACAGCGAAUUCUAAAUGCUUCCAAUUGCCUAAACCCUUCAUACAGUACAUAAUUGCAAGAAAUUAUUUAUUAAAUGGCUGUAACAUACAGUGAAUCACGAGUUAAGUAAAUUUAUUGAACUACAAAACCACAAAUUAUUACAAUGAAAAGACUCUUCAAAGAUAAAGAUGUUUUCCUCUUACAUACAAAUAUUUGCUAAAAAAUGAGAAAACACGCAUGCUGUGUUACAUCGAGAUCAUCCAACUAACUUAAUUUGAUUUUCGACGAAGGACAACAGCAUAACUAAGUACAAAGAAUGAGAAGAUCUCUCUCUCUCUCUCUCUCUUCUCUCUCUCUCUCUCUCUCUCUCUCUCUCCCUUCCAGGCAGAAAAUUUCGAUGGAUAAAACCAAUAGCAGGAACUAGAUUCA